GUAUGAAAACUGAGGUGCAGAAAGAAAUAACUAUUGAAAGUCACAAACUGCACUUCUCACACAGUAUUGAAUUCAUCUGUCCACCUGGCUCAUCAUACAAUUUGUUCCCUGAGAUCAAGGAUCAUGCUGCAUGCUGGAUUCCCCAGGAAGCUGCUUCUGAGAUGGAGUUUAGUGACCAAAAUAUGUAUGUGGGCCUUUGGAUCAUCACCUGUGGAAAGGAAGACAAGGAAACAGGAAUGGACCUAAGGUGAAGUGAAGCUCUGAUGCAAACCUGACAACUGUCUCACCUGACACCGUGAAGAGCUCUGGAGCUGGAAUGGCCUUUCGUUGUUCUGAAUUGGUGUGAGGUAGCUAGGUCUUUACACCCCUGCCACCACCCAUUAUUAGGUAUGGGCCAACCAGGAAGGGGCAUGACCAUGAGUGAUGCAGCUCUGCAGCUGAAGCAGUACCUGAAGAGGCUGACAGCUGAGGGCCAUCUGCUGACAGCACUCCCUGCAGCUGGGCAGCACAUCCUUUCUCGAAAGGGGAUCAAGGCAGUUGCAUCUCCAUGUCCACCACGGACUAUAUAUUUUUUCUUUGCAUUCCUAGGGCCUCCCAUGGUAUAUGGCACAUAGUAGGCAAAACUGGAGGUCUGUGGGGCACAUUCAGCUGGUAGAUGAGGAUUGCGUUUUCACCCACAAAGGGAUUUUUAAAAAUGAGUUGUCAACAUUUAAAAAUAAAAAGAUUUCACAUUGAAA